rnacentral:snoRNA from 1 species
UUCUAUGAUGAAGCCCAGAUAGGGACAGCUGAAACAUUUUUUUGAUGCGAACCCUGGGCCAGUAUUUUAGUAGAUGCUCUGGUAUCUGAGA